rnacentral:rRNA from 1 species
AACGAACGCUGGCGGCAUGCCUAACACAUGCAAGUCGAACGAGACCUUCGGGUCUAGUGGCGCACGGGUGCGUAACGCGUGGGAACCUGCCCUUAGGUUCGGAAUAACUCCCCGAAAGGGGUGCUAAUACCGGAUAAUGUCUUCGGACCAAAGAUUUAUCGCCUUUGGAUGGGCCCGGGUUGGAUUAGCUGGUUGGUAGGGUAAAAGCCUACCAAGGCGACGAUGCAUAGCUGGUCUGAGAGGAUGAUCAGCCACACUGGGACUGAGACACGGCCCAGACUCCUACGGGAGGCAGCAGUGGGGAAUAUUGGACAAUGGGCGAAAGCCUGAUCCAGCAAUGCCGCGUGAGUGAUGAAGGCCUUAGGGUUGUAAAGCUCUUUUACACGGGAUGAUAAUGACAGUACCGGGAGAAUAAGCUCCGGCUAACUCCGUG